ACUUGGCGCCGUCAUCACUUCGCUAGCUCUCUUUUGUCUUGGAUUUGUGACACCGACUCAUACCAGCCGAUGGGCUCAUCUCCACUCCAAACCAGUUCAAAUUUCCGCUAAAGGAGGUUGAUUCAUGCUCUCAGUACAAGACGAGGCUUCUCAUUAAAAGAAGACGAAGCAGUGUUUCACAUAGCUGGCUGCUAUUAUCACAAAUUAAUCAAUUCGGUGGGUUUGUUCUGGGAGCACUGUUUUGGAGUUUUGUUGUUGACAACUUCAGCUCAGAAGUUUGGAUGAUGUUCUUUACGGAAAGAGGAUUAAACAACCAUUUCUUGGAUUUGCAUAAUUACCGCAAGCAAGACUAGUGCUGUGGAUCACAACAUCUUGGGAGUUCUGUAGGUGGAUUCCAUCUGUAUUGGGACUGUCACCGGGGGAUGAAACUCUCAUAUCAAAAACCUGAACAGUCGUGCAAGUGUCAAAUUUGAGGUGAGUUGUUCCACCAGACUGAGCCUUGUCCAUCAACAACACCUUUACCUCUGACUGUAAUCCCUUGGAGCUUUGUGAAUUCAAGCCAUUGUAGGGUACCAGAUCCCCAAGCGUCAGAGCUUGUAGUAGCAAUGAUCUUACCAUCCAACUGCAGCAGGUUAGAGAAGUAAACCUCAGAGCUUUCAACCUUCCAAGCACUAAUCAAUUUGUUGAACUAUAUGAAUAAAUUCUAAGUUGAAAUUACUUCCAAUUGCUAAACCACUUAUCGCAUUGUGUGAAUAUAUAUAUAUAUAUAUUUUGUCACAAUGUGAAUAAUUGUAUUAAUAGUUGACACUAAUGUAUUAAUAGUUGUGGUAGUGAUGAUGGUGGUAGGGUCGUGGAGGUCAAGGUGGUAGUGGUGAUGGAGGUGGUAGUAGGGAUUAAUCUUCACCUUUUGAAAGUAACUUUUUUCAUUAGUUUUUGUUUUUCAUCAUACCAAGUGUUAAAAAUACAAAUAUAUAUAUAUAUAUAUAUAUAUAUAUUUCAAAAUAUAUUUUC